CAUUUUGUACCUUUGUCUCUAGAGAUUCCAAGCUGCCUUCAGAUGUUUGUGACCGAUGAAAUUAGUUUAAUGCUCCACUCUCCGUCUUUUAAUUGAUAGAGAAGACGGCUUAGCUCAUCUUAUCAUCUCGCUAUCAACUCAGAGAGCAUGGAAGGAUUUCCUGUGCUUGCUUUGAUGAUGUACGAGGCAUCAUUCCUGGUCUACAGGAACAUACUACAAGACUCUUGAUGGGACUUGCAUACAUGAUUAUGUCACAUACUUCGUUGAUGCGCUCAUGUUAAAGUUCUUGUAAAGGCUAAGCCUCGCAAAAUUGGAAUCUUCAAUGUUGGUACCAGGAAAGGUAGGUCCGUGAAGGAGAUUGUUGAAGCCUGCAAAAAAAGCCACAGCGCUCGAUUACUUGGAAAGAAGGGCAUGCGAUUAGUAGAGGUACUGGUAGAGGUACUCAACCGGACUAAGGAAUAUGAACUCGCCAAAAGGGAGAACUGAUGGAUUGAACAGUGACACAAGAGGGGCGGAAAGUCUCUUGAUACUACCAAACUUCAGUUGUUGCUUGAUAUGACGCACAAGUCCAACAAAAGAAAGGUUUCUAUACGUUGCUUGAUAUGACGCACAAGUCCAACGAAAUAGAGAAGUUUACUUGGAGCUAACCACACCAAGAAACAAGAAGUGUUCUACAAAUAACAAAGGAGAUAAACUCAAUAAAAGGGGAAAAAAGGUUGUCUUAUUUCGUGGCUCUUAGGCCUUAUUUAUAGGAUUACAAGUUGUAGAGAUCCAAAGAAGAAUGUGCUAAAAACAAGUCAUU